GUGCCAGCCGCCGCGGUAAUACAGAGGGUGCGAGCGUUAAUCGGAAUUACUGGGCGUAAAGCGCGCGUAGGCGGCUUGGUCAGUCGGAUGUGAAAGCCCCGGGCUUAACCUGGGAAUUGCAUUCGAUACUGCCUGGCUAGAAUGUAGUAGAGGGAAGUGGAAUUCCGGGUGUAGCGGUGAAAUGCGUAGAUAUCCGGAGGAACAUCAGUGGCGAAGGCGACUUCCUGGACUAACAUUGACGCUGAGGUGCGAAAGCGUGGGGAGCAAACAGGAUUAGAAACCCGUGUAGUCC
rnacentral:rRNA from 1 species